rnacentral:rRNA from 1 species
AUGAACGCUGGCGGCGUGCCUAAUACAUGCAAGUCGCGCGAACAGACGAGGAGCUUGCUCCUCUGACGUUAGCGGCGGACGGGUGAGUAACACGUGGAUAACCUACCUAUAAGACUGGGAUAACUUCGGGAAACCGGAGCUAAUACCGGAUAAUAUAUUGAACCGCAUGGUUCAAUAGUGAAAGACGGUUUUGCUGUCACUUAUAGCUGGAUCCGCGCCGCAUUAGCUAGUUGGUAAGGUAACGGCUUACCAAGGCAACGAUGCGUAGCCGACCUGAGAGGGUGAUCGGCCACACUGGAACUGAGACACGGUCCAGACUCCUACGGGAGGCAGCAGUAGGGAAUCUUCCGCAAUGGGCGAAAGCCUGACGGAGCAACGCCGCGUGAGUGAUGAAGGUCUUCGGAUCGUAAAACUCUGUUAUUAGGGAAGAACAAAUGUGUAAGUAACUAUGCACGUCUUGACGGUACCUAAUCAGAAAGCCACGGCUAACUACGUG